GACAGAGGUGCCAAGCGUUAGGCGGAAUCACUGGGCUUAAAGCGUGUGUAGGCGGAUGCCUAAGUACCUUGUGAAAUCCCACGGCUCAACCGUGGAACUGCUUGGUAUACUGGGUGUCUUGAGCCAUCUAGGGGCUACCGGAACAAAUGGUGGAGCGGUGAAAUGCGUAGAUAUCAUUUGGAACGCCAAUGGUGAAAACAGGUAGCUGGGGAUGUGCUGACGCUGAGACACGAAAGCCAGGGGAGCAAACGGG
rnacentral:rRNA from 1 species